UCUUUCCUAUGCCAGGUGUUCAGUUAUAAUAUUCAUAACUCCUGAAUGAAGUACUGAAGUAUAUCUUUGUUGUGUUUUGUAGCUGCUGCAAUCAUUCAGGUGGAAGAUGAGAGCACUGGAGCAGUAGAGAACAUCAUAGUGAAGAAGGAGGAUGGCGAUGCCUCUGUAGCGACACCGCUGGAGCAGGGAGUGGCCCUGACUGUGGAGGGGGUGGGGCUAGACGGGGAAGGGGUGGAGACUGUUGAGCUGGCUGUGAAUGAGGAAACAGCGGCCGCUGCUGCCAACGGAGAUCUGACACCAGAGAUGAUCCUCAGCAUGAUGGACCGGUGAACAGAACAGCCACACGCAUGUAGCCGGACUAUGAGUCAGAUUGGCAAAUACACAUUAACAUUUCCACAUCCUUGGCCUUCACCUGAUGUUCCAUCUGUGUGAGCUUUUAAAGGCAGCCAUUUUGCCUCCAUUGAAGUGGCUGCAAAAAUGGUGGCAGCAAAAACAACCAUGUACAAAGAAGGGAAGCUGCAUGUAAAUACUUAGAAAGUAACUUCAAAUCCAUGUACAUCGACCUGCAUACUGAUGUUUGUGGGACACACACACACACACACACACACACACACAAAAUACGCAAUCCCACUGCACAUACUUGUGUCAUCUCCACAUCAUAUACAAAUAUUAUCAAGCUAAUUACAGACUACUCCCUGCUCUUAAAUGCUUAUUUUCAGUUUGAAUGUCUUCUGAAUGAAUCAUUGUGGAUUUUGUUACUUUUUUUUCUACCCAAAGCCACAUCCUGUGUCAGUCUGUGCCGUUCAUGUUCAGCUCCUCCUCAUGUUGCUCUGCCAAAGGAGACAUUAUUUGGUCGACCUUCACUUUUCACUUUGUUUUUCUUCUGGCCUGCUUGCUGUUCUCUUGCAACCAUGCUGAUUUGGCAAAUUCCAAGCCUUUCUAUGUGUAUAUAUAGAUAUAAAUGUAGUAUUUCCUAAUGAAAUGUAGUACACGGUACUCAAGUUUGCCUCUGAGAUACCACUUGCUCUCAGUCAUAUGAUGUGUAUAUUUUUCCCCCCAUAGUAUGAUUUCCGCCUUGGCCUGUGUAAACACAGGGUCAGUGUUGUGGUGUUAGUAUUUGGCUGUUUGUAUAUGGAGGCUUUUAUCGUAGGAUCAGAAGGAUUCUUCUUUAUACAUGAGCAAAUGGGCACAGGCAGAUACCGUCAAAUGAAUGAAGUCAGUGAGUCAGCUGCCCAGUUCACCACCACUCAACCUUGUUUUAAUGGAAAUCCGCCCUCAGUCAACUCAGGCAAAUUAAAUACUUGAGGUUGCUGCUAAUUUAGUUUCCCAGCACUAACAUAGUUUGAGAUGAAGUUCAUUAUCAGCUGUUUCCCCCCCUACCUAUCACUGAUCCCUGCUGGUGGGUACAGAUAAGUACAGAUAAUCUUGAUUUAGGUGGUAGAAUAUUGUAAUAUAGUUGUGAUUUUGAACAUUCCAACUACUUUAAUUAAUAUGGAAUUAUGUCUAUGCAUCUGAAUCAGUUCACUUGAAGUAAUCAGCAGUAAUAAACUCCAACAUGUUUUGCAAGCUAAUACCAGCCACCCCCCACAGCAAUCCAUGAUCACCAAACAUGGUUUGCAUGUAACAACAUUUUAAACCCUUUGCUUUUUGAUUUCUUGUGAACCAUUUUUAAUGUAUUUAAAUGGCUGACUUUGACAUGUGUUGGUUAAAAGUUUUUUUCAGUGUCAUACCUUGUCCUCCACGCCCUUAGCCUGUAAAGGUGAUUUGCAGAAUGACCUUUCCAUUGUGCUUUCCUUCCACAGAUAAGCUCUUCUUAACCAAACUGAACUAUCUGAACCACUCGUGUUUCUGUCUGUAUUCUGUUGCUCAUGACCAUUUUGGAUCUGCUCUGAUACUGUUCUACGUUUUUCAUGUUUGGCCAUUUUGCAGUUUCUGUGCAGUUGGUUCGGUUCAGUGGUGUGACAGAAGCGUAGUCUUAUUCAGUUUAACCUUUUGGCCCAAAGGUGUGAGAUUAGUUUGACGUAUAAGGAACAAGAGCUUUUGGAGAAUUUGCUGAAAGAAAAAACAGUUUGGCAACCAUCUAAAAGCUUUAAUAAUGUUUUUGAUUGGUGACAGUUUUUAGAAGCUCUGUAUUUGUUUGCUGUGCUAUGUGACUUAAUUGGGUAGUCCAAAUCAGCCCUGAACUGAGGCCCGUUUAGCCCAAGUCUUGCAAUUCCAGUAGCCCUGAGCUGUCGGAUGGUGUGCAUUUGCAGCUGAUACCAAGGUGUGUCUUUACCUUGGCCCACGCCAGUCACUCCAAAUCAGAGCCUAGUUUUCUUUACAAAAACACAGGAUUAGGAUCAAGGUUAGAACUAAAUGAAUCUUCAUGGUCAGAAUCUCAACAAAUCAUAUGAUUUGAGUCUUCUGAAGGUGUGAAUCCUUAGACUAGGGCUAAAAGCUCUGCAGUGACAGUUUGACCACAGGUUAUGAUGGUUGUUAUGUGGCCUUCCUUCCAGGCUGUAAGGAACCAUGGACACAGAGAUAGCAGUGCCAAGAUACUGAUACUAAAAGAAGGAGGACGGAUGGAAGAUGGAUGUUCGACUGUUCCCAUAGCGACAGUAUUGUUUUUUUGUUUGCACAUAGCUUUGCUUUGUUUGUUUGUUUUGGCAGAAGAAUUGAGAGAACAGUUUUAAGGUGGUUUUAACCACAUUACUGUUUUAAGACCAAGAAAACAGAUGAGGCACUGUACAGCUGAUGAAAAAUAAAAUCCUCCUAACGGGU